ACUAGACACAGCUGACUCCCAGUUUCUGGAAAAUGCGAGCAAAUGUCUUAUUGUUAGGUUAUGUGCCGCUUAGAGGACGUGCAAGUCUUCAAAUGACCUUGAUUAGUAAAGGGGUUUGGCGUGAGAGGGAAAGAGUGUGUCUUUUAUACCAUCCUGAAGUGAAAGUUUAGCAUUUGCAUUUCCGAACUUCAUCACAGCAGUGGAUUUUCUCCAGGCCAACAACACAACCUGACUGAAUAUUAGGUGUGUGUAUGAGGUAUAAAGCCAUUGUCAAGGAAUAGCAAAACAAAAGGAAGCUAUGUUUCUCCUCAGUUGCAGGAUUAAAGACCGGAAAUUUCUUGCCACUCACUGAACUAUGCCAUUCAUUGUUUAUGAAGAUCUGCAGAGAAGGAGAAAAGAAUGCAUGUACCUUUUCUAGCUGUUCUUGAGUGAAGAUGGAACCUGUUAACUCUUGGCCUGAAAAUUUGCUAUUAGAUUUAGACCCAGUAGUGAAGCUCUGUUACCUACCAAAAAUUUUAAAGUGGAAAAUACUUCGGAGUUUUAGUCUUUCAGAAGGAUGGCAGGCCAAUGAAAUGAUUCAUGGACUCCUGAGCUCCUGAUCCCAGACUUAGACAGCCAACUUGGAAUACACUUUAGAGGACAUCUGAAUGACUAAUACCCUAGGCACAUCUCUCCAAGAGGGCUCUUGAUUGAGCCCUAAAUCCAAUGACAGCGCCUUAAUAAAAGUCAUACGGAGGAGAGACUGGGAGAAGAGGAGAGGCCAUGUGAAGACUGAGACAGAGAUUGAGUGACACAUCUACAGUCCAGGAACACCUGGAGCCACCAGAAGCUGGAAGAGACAAAGUAAAAUUCCCCUCCAGCUUUUAGAAAGAGAAGGGUCCUCCUAACACCUUGACUUCAGACUUCUGGCCUCCAGAUUGUGAGCUAAUAUAGUCCUGUUGCUGAGUUGUAGGAGUUCUUUGUAUCGUCUAGCUAUUAAUCCUUUGUAACCCACCAAGUUUGUGAUGAUUUGUUACAACAUCCCUUGGAAACUAAUAUACCAUCCCCAGCCAUUUAAUACCUGGGUGGAACCCACAUCUUACUACAUAAUACAUUUCCUGUAUUAUGAAAUCACUUCAGUAAGGAUUGCUCUUGUUACAGUAGAAGCUUCAAGUUUAAGCUGAAGAACUCUCCAGUAGAAGGUGGUAUAAUCAGAGGCUAUGGGCACAGUACUAGAGUUAUAUUACUUGGGUUCAAAACUUUUUUUACACCACUUACAUUCUGUUAGCCUGAGCAAUUUUUCUAAUUUCUCGGUGCCUCAAAAUUUAUCAGGGAUAAACAGGCAAAAAAUAGCAGUUCUUUUAGA